rnacentral:rRNA from 1 species
AGUGGAUGGGGAGCAACCUAGUUGUGCGUGUGUAAAGGUAGUGCCAAGAAAAGCGAUGAUCAUGUUGAAAAUCAAUUCCCGGUACCCGAAACCGACACAGGUGGGCAAGUAGAGAAUACUAAGGGGCGCGAGGUAACUCUCUCCAAGGAACUCGGCAAAAUGACCCCGUAACUUAGGGAGAAGGGGUGCCACCGAGAGGUGGUCGCAGUGAAGAGGCCCAGGCGACUGUUUAGCAAAAAACAUAGGUCUCUGCAAACUCGAAAGAGGAGGUAUAGGGGCUGACGCCUGCCCAGUGCCGGAAGGUUAGAGAAGUUGGUCAGUUUUAGGAUGAAGCUAGCGACUGAAGCCCCGGUGAACGGCGGCCGUAACUAUAACGGUCCUAAGGUAGCGAAAUUCCUUGUCGGGUAAGUUCCGACCCGCACGAAAGGCGUAACGAUCUGGGCGCUGUCUCGGAGAGAGGCUCGGCGAAAUAGGAUUGUCUGUGAAGAUACGGACUACCUGCAUUUGGACAGAAAGACCCUAUGAAGCUAUACUAUAGCUUGGAAUUGUGUUCGGGCUUCCUGUGCGCAGGAUAGGUGGGAGGCGUAGAAGGUAUUCUUGUGGGGAUACUGGAGCCAACGGUGAGAUACCACUCUCAGGAGGCUAGAAUUCUAACUUAAUUAAGGACAGUUUCAGGUGGGUAGUUUUGACUGGGGCGGUCGCCUCCAAAAAGGUAACGGAGGCGUACAAAGGUUCCCUCAGACUGGUUGGAAAUCAGUCGAAGAGUGCAAAGGCAGAAGGGAGCUUGACUGCGAGAAGUACAGUUCGAGCAGGGUGGAAACACGGUCUUAGUGAUCCGACGGUGCUGUGUGGAAGGGCCGUCGCUCAACGGAUAAAAGUUACUCUAGGAUAACAGGCUGAUCUCCCCCAAGAGUUCACAUCGACGGGGAGGUUUGGCACCUCGAUGUCGGCUCAUCGCAACCUGGGGCGGAAGUACGUCCCAAGGGUUGGGCUGUUCGCCCAUUAAAGCGGUACGUGAGCUGGGUUCAGAACGUCGUGAGACAGUUCGGUCCAUAUCCGAUGUAGGCGUGAGAAUAUUGAGAGGAGCCUUCCUUAGUACGAGAGGACCGGGAAGGACGCACCGCUGGUGUACCUGUUAUGAUGCCAAUUGUAAACGCAGGGUAGCCAAGUGCGGAGAGGAUAACCGCUGAAAGCAUCUAAGUGGGAAGCCCACCUCAAGAUGAGUAUUCUGGUGUAAGGUCACGGGAAGACGACCGUAAAUAGGCACGAGGUGGAAGUGCAGAGAUGUAUGAAGCCGAAGUGUACUAAUAGACCGUCGGCUUGACC